GGAUGAGAUGGGCGGCGGCGCGCGCAGGUGUGCAUGUGAGGAGCGGCUGAGGGCGAUAUGCGCAUGCGUGCGCGCCGCCGUUGCCGUCACCCAGCGCACGUGGCCGCGCACCUUCACCGUGAGAGCCGCGCUCGAAGCGCGGGCGUCUCCUUAGCGCCGCCGCUGGCCCGUGUGGAGACGCCGUCUGUGGCGGGGUGAUCACGUCGUCACGAGGGGCCGGCAGAAGUCCCGGAGGGGAAAUAUGUCUGCGUGAGUGUUUGGGACCGACGAUCCUAAGACGCAGCCGCCCCGAGCAGCCUCACUGCCUGAGGUGGCCCUGCUGGCCCGGCAUCGGCAUCUCCUGUACUGCCUGAGGGGUGGCCCUCGGACAUGGCGGCCGCUGCCUCUGCACUGCCACCUCUAGCUGGAAUAUGACUCACAGCAGUUCAGACGUUACGUUCCGAGGGCACAGAGGCCCUGUCAGUCACAUCCAGCCCACUCCGUUGGAGUGGGAGCACAGCCCUAGAAGGUCACUGAGCCCCAGCGUCUGCCAGCACACCUGCCACUGCAACCAGGGCAAGCGGCCUUUAAAUAACCCUUUUUGUCCCUUUCCACCUGUUGUGGAAGAGCUCAGUGCAGCCUCAUAGCUACAGUGAGCCCUGUUUUGCUCUUAAAGUAACAGCUGAGCCACUCUUUUCUACCAAAAAUGCUGCAUAUCACUCGCAAGUGAAUAUCAUGAUGCAGAUCAAGCUAAGAAACAGACACAGCUUUGAUGAAGUAGAAACUUGCCCUUUGUGGUUUGCUUUCCAGUCACACAACAUUCUCACAUUCUCUCUGCCUCCCUUUCCUUUCCUUGGCCGCCUCCUCAAGUUGCCCUUCCAAUGCACUUAGCCAACAAGGCCUGGAUCAGCUCCUGCCUCCUCAGAGGCACCACUAUAGUAUCCCACUUCCCGUUCACACCUUUUGCUUCCAAAUCCCAAGGUUUUUUUCCUUUGUGUUCCUUGCUGUCACUUCCUGCCAGCUACGUCUGCUCCCACUGCCACCCACAACUGCUGUGGCACAACCACAGUUUGCACUGUGCUUCCCCAUGCAAACAGGAGAGGAGCUGCCACCUGUGCUAGACAAAGCAACAAAGCAUCACAACUUAAUGCAAGAUGAUCAACUUCUCCCCUCGAGGGUGGUCUCAAGGCCUUCCUGAUACCCAACACAGCAACAAAGCUUCUCUUGUGCUCUGUCUGCAUCUCCCGAGAUUGAUUAAUAUGGAUGUUUUCACACUCAGACAAGGUAAGCUGAGUGCCCGAGUCCUCCCGUGCUGUCAAAUAAAGGAGUUAGAUCUUCACAUCCUUCGGGGUGGCAGUGACGCUCAGAUAAGUGAAGAAAACUCGUGUUCGUUUUCCUCUGUGUAUAUGUAAACGUCUGGGGGGUGUUGGCAGCUCCUGAUAGUGAUUAAUGGCCUUACAGUUUACAUAGAGUAUAGUGGUAGUUGCUUGUUGUUCUCAAGAAUGGAAUAAACAGGGCCUAUUCAUAAAGACAGUCUCCUCUUUGAUGCAGAAGUUCAGAUCUCCCAAUGUUUCUUUCUUUAGAUAGAUAUAUUACUACAAGACAGAGACAUAAUUGGUAAUUGUGCCUAGUUUUUGUAACAUCAGCUGUACCUAUUAAACGUGGACCCUUGAUUUGGUGAGCGAAGCCAGAAAACGUGCUAAAUCCUCACAAAUACAAUGUAAUGGUGUGUGAAAAAGCGAAGAAUAAAUUUCCCACUAAGUAUUCCUGCUAUACAGAAUGGGCACACAUAAAAUCAUGCAAGUCAGCGUGAUGAAUAGCAGCUUAACGUUUUUAUAGCCCUCCAUCCAGAAGAAUCUCACAGAAAUUAUUGUAUAGAAAUAGAAAACAAGGAUCAUUUUAACACUGGGAGCCUGGUCUUCCACAGAAGCUUUGCAGGCUGACGCUCUGUAUUUGAAACAAAGAUCCCCCUGGCAGUGCAGUGCAAGACAACAUUUUUUUUUAGAGUGUAUGAAAGUUUUUAAAUGACUGAAUACACCAAGGAGUUGAAGGCUGAACAACACUUGAAGCGCACAUAAGCUCGUACUUGAUAGUAAAGUCUGACUGACAUAUCAGUGCUUACUCUAAGCAGCAGGCAGAGGCACACCGGCUGGUUUGCUGCGUGUAAUCAGUUUGACAGCCCCCAGGAAUUGCCGAGUCUCCAUGACCCUGGAAAGACAGUUUGGCACAUAUAUUAAACAAAUACCUCCCCUCCAACUGUUUAUUCAUCUCCACUAGUCACAGACCUUCCCAGCCUGCGCUCACAUUAGCACUGAGUGGUUAGAUAAUGAUGGAAGAAUCUUCCACGUGUCCUCACAGUUGUUGCAGUCAGAACCCUCAGAUGAAAAUACUGCCGGAUUAAAUACUGCCUUUGAAGCAGGAUGGUGCUUCAGUAGCAGAGACAACACAAUGCACAAAGAAUGCCACAAGAGACAAGGUCGCGUAACGGCAGUGGCACGACUGGAAAAUAAUUUCAUCUGCCUUUACAAAGAAAGCUGAGGAGGGUGUAAAACAAAGUAGAGACCGUUUCCCUCCCACCACAGCCGUACGUCUAUUAUCUGACUCACCACUUCUGGGAUUCCUUCUGGCAGUGCUGGUUUUAUUGCAAUGAAAACUCAAGCGUGUGAAAAAUAUUCCCUAUUUUCUGAGGACUGUUCUAUUCUCUGUUCACUGUUUCGUUCAGGUCAGUAUUCCUUCCUUUAAAGGUUUGGAACUAAAGAUUCAGAAAGUGCUGUUCUUAAGCCUUGUGAGAAGGACUGGCACAGUGGAAAGGAAGGGGGAAGGGAGAAAUGAAAGGGGAGGAGAGUCCAUAUCUGAAGAGAGACUCCAGACUAGAGAAAUUUUACUGACAUCCAUUCAGUAUCCAGCAGGGUCUCCUUCAAGGGCUUUUACUGAGAUCCAAAGACUCUUGCAAUUCACAGAGGCAUUUACAUGCAACGUUGCCCUCUGGGAGCUAAGGUAUAACUGUACUCCUGGAUAAUAAUAACAAAGAAUACUACCAGAUUCCCAUUGAAAUGUCAACCAGGCACUACUGUUCUAGAGAGCAACAAAGAGAUGCUAAUAUAAUUAAUUAUGAAGCCUCAGUACCCUCAUUAACACUUCUUUAGUGCCCAGAUCUUUGAAAAUCAGCUGUAUAAAGUGACUGUCAGAGUUAAUUCCUUAUAAAUUGCCUCCUGUCACUGCAGCAAGUUCUCCCAGGCCGUGGUGAUGCUGAGAAAUCUGUUGUGUGGGAUUCUUUUUUUUUUCUUCUUCUUCUUUUUUUUUUUUUUUUUGUUAGUACUGAUGCAGUCGUAUUGGUUAUUAAAAGUUUAACAUAUAAAGGUUGAAUGAGCAGGAGUUUGUCAGGAUAGGAUAGAGCAAAAUCAAAAAGCCUUUAGAUAACCCAGCUUCCAUAGACUGGUAACACAAAUAGGGAAAGUUUGAAUUGCUUAAAUGGAAAACUAAGGAAAAACAGGAACGAAAGGUGUGACAUUUGGCAUUAAGAUGUUUCCGGACCUUUUUCAAUGUGAGGAUGGCAGCCAGUUUAUAGCCUUCUCUCCUCCUACUGCCUUUACGACAGCAUUUCAGCUCCAGGCCUCAUUCCGAUGCAUCCUCCCUCCCCACCACUCCCGCUUACAAAUAUAUAUUUCAAUAGGCUUAGGCUGCACGGAGUUCCAAACCCAGCAUGUAAUGGGUACAAUUGUUUUCACGCUUUUCCACAGAGAGCCACAUUCAUGCCUUUUGGGGCUCUGCUUUGUCAUGUUCUUGCUCUUUUUUUUCUUUAAGUUAGACCGGGAUCAGAACCCUACACAAACACUAACAAAAAAGCUCAACAAACCACCUACGUUUGCAGUUCAUUCCGUUACAUCCCCCUACCAUUCCGUCUCCUAAAGGAUAUAAAGAAGCAAUCUGUUAGAGAAGAAACCUGGUCAUUAGAGAUCACUUUGCAUUUUUUGCAGCAGUAGAAACACUGAAUGGUGACGUAGCAAACUGUACACAACAGCCUGCUCAAUCUUCUGUGUACUUCUGUACUUUUGAGGAGAUUUUCUGCAGUGUAAAAUUGCAUGGGGUUAUCUGUGUUUGUACAGUGUGCUCCAAGACCCUUUGGGCUCCUUGCUAUGUGUAGGAUAACAGACUGAUCUUAAUGGGAUAUUCUUAUUCACCAUUUCAGAAGUGGCUGUAGCACCAGGUGUAAGAUGAUUUUGCUGUUCCAGCUAAACUGACAACAUGCAAACUCUUUAAACGGAGGUAAAGUUUAUAUUAACAAAAGUAGUCCUUACAAAUGGGGCUGUCCUUCCUACUGUAUUUGCUGGCAUUAUUAGGAAAAUGGUUUUAUUCUCCACUCUUAGAUCACAUAUCAACGUCUCAGUAAAGCUAUGAUGUAUUGAUCACUCAGUGUUUAUAUAAUUCAUAUUUAAUAAACAGAAGUGCAAAGGAUGCUCCAAAAGUAAUGCAUCCUAUUUUAUGAUGUUGGCCCACAAUGUCAGAGGCAGAUGGUGGUGGUAUGGCAGUAGAGGCUGAACCUUCUUGCUCAUUGCUGGCAAAAAUACACAGCUAAUGGUGGUGACUGUGUAGAAAGAUGGCGUUUUGUAACUGAGAAUUUGCUUUAUCAACUCGUGUUAUUGUACUCUUUGCAUCUGUUGUAGUUUCCAUGGAAAUAAAUAGGAGGCAUUACUUUCAGAGCAACCUAUGCUUGAAAUUAAAUAUCUAGCUUUCUGAAGAGCAGUCAAGAACUAUCACACAAAUUGUGCUUGCUUUACAUAAAUAUAAAUUCGAUAGAACUUCGUAGAAUGUAACUAUUUCAGAAUGGCCUUUUAGAAACAGCUUAUCUGCAAGAGAUGCUACUUGGACGAAUAGUACCUAUUUGCAGUGCUUUUUGAGAUAUUCAGGUGCUUCACACAUACCAACUCAAAUUUGAACAGCUGUUUGAGAUGCUAUAAACAUAGUAUGAGUUGGUAAAUUGAUACACAGAUCGGAUAAAUAAUAUUUAGUCACAUACAAUGAAUACGGAAUUAAUUUAAUGGAUCUCAGUGUUUUCUUCCAUGCUGUCAGCACUGCAGCGGGUCAGCUACCUUUUAAGGGUGGGAUGCCAGAUUGUACAUUUAUUUCUGAGAUUAGAUGGUGGGCAUGCUGAUAUAAGCUCAGCAGGAAUGAGG
ensembl:lncRNA